rnacentral:rRNA from 1 species
UACAGAGGUCCCAAGUGUUGUUCGGAAUUACUGGGCGUAAAGGGCGCGCAGGCGGCUUGGCAAGUCGAGCGUGAAAUACCUCAGCUUAACUGAGGAACGGCGCUCGAAACUACCUCGCUUGAGGGCGGGAGAGGGAAGUGGAACUCUCGGUGUAGGGGUGAAAUCUGUAGAUAUCGAGAGGAACACCGGUGGCGAAGGCGGCUUCCUGGCCCGUACCUGACGCUGAGGCGCGAAAGCGUGGGGAGCAAACAGG